AUUUAAAUAGUUUAAAAUAAAAUAUUGAUUUGUGGAAUCAAAGUUAUAAUUUAUUAUUUUAAAUU
rnacentral:tRNA from 1 species